rnacentral:rRNA from 1 species
GUGCCGAUAAAACGCGUGAUGAGACGUCGUGGACUGUAAGCUCUUUUCUAAGGAAGAUAACGACGGUACUUAAGGAAUAAGCACCGGCUAACUCCGUGCCAGCAGCCGCGGUAAUACGGGGGGUGCAAGCGUUGUCCGGAAUGAUUGGGCGUAAAGCAUCUGUAGGUGGUCUCUAAAGUCAACUGUCAAAUCCCAGAGCUUAACUUUGGACAGGCGGUUGAGUACUUAGGAACUUGAGUAUGGUAGGGGUAGAGGGAAUUCCUUGUGGAGCGGUGAAAUGCACAGAGAUAAGGAGGAACACCAGUGGCGAAAGCGCUCUACUGGGCCAUGACUGACACUGAGAGAGACAGCAGGGGGC